UGUCAGUUUUCGGAGAUAAGGUUGAACACCAUCAGGGAGGGAGAAUUAAUUGGGGAGAAAAGGACAAAGAAACAUUCCGAAACGUGUUAAAAACUGAAUUUAAUGAAGUAGUAGCAGUACUUACUUUAAUUAGACGGUCUCCUGUUUUUUUCCUGUCAGCAAUUACUCGGAAGCUCUUGAAGCAGAGCCGCAGGCUGAUGCAGCAGUGCAGUGAGGGGAGAUCGGCUGUAAGGUGAGAUCAUAUCCUGGGAAACAGCAAGGUCAAGCUGAGCUCAGGUGCCCUGGAGCAGAGGAGGGGAAGAGAUGGAUAGAUGGAGAGGCUGAGCAGAAAAAGAAGAUGUACUCGGCCCUGUUCCAGCUCAACCCAGCCCAGGCCCAAGCUGCAGAGGUGAAUAGAGCUGCAGUGGUGGAUGGCAGUGCAGAGGAUGAACAGAAUGAGAAGACACUGAACAGUGAGGAUCACACAUCUUAUCUUCUUUCUUACACAAAUACUGCUAAAAAAAACGUCAUUACCCUGAACGCAAUAUAUAUAUAUUGUUUUUUGCCCUGUUGUGUUUUAAAGUUAUUCCCUUAUAAUUAAGCUUUGUUAUGUUGAUUCUGACAAAAGUUUAAUAAAAAAAAGAAAACGGAAGUAUCAGUUGAUUUUAAGCACAAAUAGGCAGUGAGCAAUUUAGGCAAUCUAGCCAAUCAUGAGAGCUGGUCGGAUUAUAUGGUUCAUGUUUUGUGAGUUGCUGCAGUGCUACGUGAGAUCACAGACCUCUGCAGUUCGUUUAUUUGCAAGCUGUCAGUUUGGACAUCACUCAUAGAUAAAGAAGAACUAUGUUGCAAAAAUAAUUGGAGAAUUUGUAAAAGUAAUGCCUAAUGGAAGUAAGAGUUUGAACACCACUAACCAGAUACCUUUCUCGAGAGUACAUCACUCAGCUCAGUACCAUAGUAUCUGAACACAGCAAAACAAGCAAACACAACUAACGGCGCUCCUAAGCUCCACAGUGCAGUUCUGCAUGGUAAUUCACAGUCAAUUUGCUUGGAGUUUAAAUUAUUUUUGAUUUUAUAAAGUGUCAUCAUGAAAGACAAUGCACAGAAUGUUACGGAAGCCCUGCAUGAUGAAGCAUUACCAAUAUAGCCUGGAAAGUUGAAAGUGCACUGAUCCACAAUUGGAUCAGUCCACAGUAAUUGUUGUUCUAGUUCUGUUCUUGUUUUAUUUCUGUUCAGCCUGGGCAGCUCUGACUUCAGAUACCGAAAGCUACUAAGGAACAGCAAGACCCAAGGACCCAAGAGCAGGUUAAUGUCAAUCAAACUAAGAAGAUGCUGGUUGACUUUGGUCAGGAAGUCCAAACCACCCCGUCACAAGUCAGCUGAUUUGGUGGACAUAAAUCUCGUUGGAACUGCUAUAAGUACUUAAGGACCUGAGUUUUCACUUAAAUGGCAAACUGGAGCCAAGUUCUAACACCAAUGAGAAAAAUAUUAGCAUGGGAUAAAACACUGGUCGAUCUAUGUUUGUAUGCUGGGUCAGAGGUUUCAACAAUACUUUCAUUACACUGUAAACAUACUACAUAAUACUGGUCCUUCUCUCAGUAAAUCAAUGGGAUGGCAACUACCCUUUGAUAUUCAGUGCAGUACCAAUAGCUGCUGCCAUGCAAACUUUGGGCACCCCUAGUCAAAAAAUUCUGUCCAAAAGGCACAAUGGAAAAAAUGUAAUUUUUAGCAUUGAUUGAUUGAUUGCAUUUAGUUAUUAAUGCAAACCAGAGAAUUGAUCCUUAAAAAUUUAUUGAUUUAAAUGUGUGAUCAAAUCAUAUGACAUACAAUAAGAAACAAAAAUACCCUUGCAUAGAUCACAGAACAUGCCU